rnacentral:rRNA from 1 species
CUACGGGCGGCUCCAGUGGGGAAUAUUGCACAAUGGAGGAAACUCUGAUGCAGCAACGCCGCGUGGAGGAUGACGCAUUUCGGUGUGUAAACUCCUUUUAUAAGAGAAGAUUAUGACGGUAUCUUAUGAAUAAGCACCGGCUAACUCCGUGCCAGCAGCCGCGGUAAUGCGAGAGGGUGCAAGCGUUACUCGGAAUCACUGGGCGUAAAGAACACGUAGGCGGAUUUUUAAGUCUUGAGUGAAAUCCUAUGGCUUAACCAUAGAACUGCUUGAGAAACUGAAAAUCUAGAAUCUGGAAGAGGGAGAUGGAAUUAGUAGUGUAGGGGUAAAAUCCGUAGAUAUUACUAGGAAUACCAAAAGCGAAGGCAAUCUACUGGGACAGUAUUGACGCUGUGGUGUGAAAGCGUGGGGAGCAAACAGGAUUAGAUACCCUAGUAGUC